rnacentral:rRNA from 1 species
CUACGGGUCGCACCAGUGGGGAAUAUUGCACAAUGGGCGCAAGCCUGAUGCAGCCAUGCCGCGUGUAUGAAGAAGGCCUUCGGGUUGUAAAGUACUUUCAGCGGGGAGGAAGGGAGUACAGUUAAUACCUUUGCUCAUUGACGUUACCCGCAGAAGAAGCACCGGCUAACUCCGUGCCAGCAGCCGCGGUAAUACGGAGUGUGCAAGCGUUAAUCGGAAUUACUGGGCGUAAAGCGCACGCAGGCGGUUUGUUAAGUCAGAUGUGAAAUCCCCGGGCUCAACCUGGGAACUGCAUCUGAUACUGGCAAGCUUGAGUCUCGUAGAGGGGGGUAGAAUUCCAGGUGUAGCGGUGAAAUGCGUAGAGAUCUGGAGGAAUACCGGGGGCGAAGGCGGCCCCCUGGACGAAGACUGACGCUCAGGUGCGAAAGCGUGGGGAGCAAACAGGAUUAGAUACCCCCGUAGUC